GCAGCCCGGUGGCUGCUCCGGGCUGGGAGUGUUACCAGAUCCAUGUGACAUUAAGUUUUUUGGCAGGAAAAGCUUUGUGGAAAAAGCAAAAGUUGCACAGAUUCUUGUUCUGAUUAUUUGUUUCUAACCCUGCUACAAAUGGAAAACAUUUCUCUGUGUACUCUUUAUCAGCUAAAAUCGCUCAUAAACCAUGAGCAGGGCAGAUGGCAGACUGACAAGCAGGACAGAAGGUCAGAAAACCUACGCGUAUGCUUGGAGAAACGAAGGGGAGACAUCUAGCAGAGCAGCGUUGGUGCUUCACGUUGCCUGUCCUGCCAUGGGCAGUCUCUCUUGCCACAUCCCAUCUUGCGUGAUGCAGCACAUCUCCUCCGCCAAACCUCCGCGGUGCGUCCAGGGCAAUGUCCUGCAAAGUUCAGACCACGGAGAAGCCCGUAUGGGAAAGAGAUGAACUCCAGCUACGGUAACUAAUGUAAUACUGUAAUAAUAUUUCAAAAUAGAAAAUACUUAUGGUAAAAAUGUGACGUUUUCUGGUGUUUGUUUGUUUAAUGACAUGAACAUUUCCCACAGGGACCACCUAAUUUUUUGUGAAGAUGUUUGCUCAAUUGAAACCUCAAUAUUCUCUUUAAUUUUGGAGAGUAGAAGAACAAUUACAAAAUAUAUGUUUACCGUCGACUUCUUUAGUGCUCUUUGUUAAGUUUAAA